GGCUCAGGAUGAACGCUGGCGGCGUGCCUAAUACAUGCAAGUCGAACGAGAUGCUUUUGUAGCAAUACGAGAGUAUUCUAGUGGCGAACGGGUGAGUAACGCGUUGGUGACCUACCCCAAAGUGUGGGAUAACAGUCCGAAAGGAUUGCUAAUACCGCAUGUGGUCUUCGGAUUUAGAAACUGAUGACUAAAGGAGCAAUUCGCUUUGGGAGGGACCUGCGUCCCAUCAGCUAGUUGGUGAGGUAAUGGCUCACCAAGGCGACGACGGGUAGGGGACCUGAGAGGGUGGCCCCCCACAAUGGAACUGAAACACGGUCCAUACACCUACGGGUGGCAGCAGUAGGGAAUAUUGCUCAAUGGGCGAAAGCCUGAAGCAGCAACGCCGCGUGUGCGAUGAAGGCCUUCGGGUCGUAAAGCACUUUUCUGAGAGAUGAGAAAGGACAGUAUCUCAGGAAUAAGUCUCGGCUAACUACGUGCCAGCAGCCGCGGUAAAACGUAGGAGGCAAGCGUUAUCCGGAUUCACUGGGCGUAAAGCGCGUGCAGGCGGUGCGGUAAGUUGGGCGUGAAAUCUCCCGGCUCAACUGGGAUAGGUCGUCCAAUACUACCGUACUUGAGAGCAGAAGAGGAAAAUGGAAUUCCCGGUGUAGUGGUGAAAUGCGUAGAUAUCGGGAGGAACACCAGUGGCGAAGGCGAUUUUCUGGUCUGUUUCUGACGCUCAGACGCGACAGCUAGGGUAGUAAACGGGAUUAGAGACCCCGGUAAUCCUAGCCGUAAACGAUGUGAACUUGGCGUUGGUGGGUUAAACUCCAUCAGUGCCGUAGCAAACGCGAUAAGUUCACCGCCUGGGGACUACGGCCGCAAGGGUUAAACU
rnacentral:rRNA from 1 species